rnacentral:lncRNA from 1 species
AGCCACACCAGUCACCAGUGUCUAACCGGCCUAUGGCACUUGGCAUAAGACUUCUUGCCAGUCCUUUCCUGGGACUUCUUCCCUGACACUACCCCUAGCUUAGUUGGUAUCCAUAGUGCCUUCCUGUUCCUCGGAUGCUCUAGCGAACAAGGAGGAACAUGGAUUUUAAAGCAUCUGAAGGUGCUGAAGUUCAAAGCCUGUUUUCUCAGCUCAAAUUCUGGUCCGUGGUUAUGCAACAUUUCCCAGCGAGUAGCUUUCCUGCAGCGUGCUGUGUCCUUCCAGCACCAGCCCAGGGUGAACGUUUCCCUUCAAAGCAGAGCAUUUGGGCACAGAUGAAGAUGAAAGUGCAGAAAGCUCCACAGAGAGAGUAGAAGAGACGACGAGUUUUCAAUAAAUGCUCCUGCCCCAGAAAAGUGGAACUAAUGGCGUUUGCGACAUAAAGCAGGUGCUCUGCCCGCUAGGAGCGCACGACAGCACCUCCAGGAUUAGCUGCAGCAAGGCUCCUCUGCUGCCAGGGAGAAAAAUUACUGGGGAGGAGACUGGAGGGAUCUGCAGCAGCCCCUCGAAGAAGCUGGGAGAAGGGACAGGAUCUUGUCCUCACAUCCUCCACACAGGAUCCACGGCAUCUUCCACCGAGGCGUCUCCCAUGGGAAAACAGAACCUUCUGCUCUCUGACAUGACAUCUGCAGCAUGGUGA